CCAGAGGUACCCAAGUGGCCAACGGGGGCUGACUGUAAAUCAGCUGGUGUAUACCUUCGAAGGUUCGAAUCCUUCCCUCUGGA
rnacentral:tRNA from 2 species